CUGGGAAACUCGAAAAGUACAAACCUUACGGAAAGUCCAUAAAAAAAGUGGUGCAAGAUUGCUGGUGGGUUACAGGGGUGUGCACGAAUACCGGGUAUACCCGGAACCGGUCGGAACCUAUCCGUUAGGGUAGGAUUCGGGUAACUCGUAUUGAAAAUAGAGUAGGGUCUGGAUAUCAAAAUAAGGAACCAGUGGAAUCCGGUUCCGGUUCCAACCUGCAGGAUACUCAGAACCGGAACCGGAACCGGUAUCCGGAACCGGAUGCUAAUUACUAAAAAAAAAAAAAAAGGAAAGGUAAAGUUAGUCUGUAAUGUCGAGAAGAAUCAGAAGAUUGAAGACACGAGACAAGAAGGAAGAGCGAAGAGGAACCCUAAAUCGCAAAUCGUGUCCGACUCUAGCUCCUCUCGUCUCCGACUCUCCACUCCAGCUCCUCUCCGUCGGUCGCAUCUCGUCUCCGACUCUCCACUCUGGCUCUCUUUCCCGCUGAGCUUCUUUUCUGCUCCAAAUCCGUCGCUCUCGACUCCGAUUCUCCACUCCGGCUCCUCUCUGUCGCUCUCGUCUCCGACUCUCCUUCAAGCUCCGUUUCCCCGAAUGAGUCAAUCUGCAAGAGCCGCAGAAAAAGAAUCGGAACAAACAAGCAGGUCAACGAAAAUCAAACUGGAGUUUUAGGAUGAACGGAAAAGGGGAAACAUCAACAGAGAGAUAAUGCAAAGCUGAGCUUAGCUGUGAUUGAAACUAGACAGGGUAUUGAUGAAAGAUGAGAGAAGACAUGGGUGGUGAUUUUCUUUUGAAAUUCUUGCUGGUAAAAUCUUCAGUACUCCCUGACUCCCAAGUCCCAAUGAAAAAUGGCCCUUCUCCCCCGCAGAUGAACAUGGACCUCUCAGUUGCUGACGGGCAUCUCUGUAACAUGGGAAAGAUGAUAGAAGAAAUGGAGAGUAAGCUGAGAAAUUCGUUGGAUCAGGUUAGACCAAGUCAUAGUCUACGAACAUAACACCUUCAUCCCCCCCCCCAUUUUCCACCCUAAGAGACUAUUCUUUGUUAUAUAUCUGUCUCAUGAACUUCGUAUUUUGGCUGAACGUCUCAUGAACUUUUUAACCUUGUAUUACUAUAUUUUAGGAUAAUUUCCCUCAUUUUCCUGAACUGUGUUUGACGAAGCCCCCAGCUCCUUUUGCUGCUCUGUUUUCUCUCGUCUGGACUCCACUUUGAUGAUAAAAGUUUUCCUUGUUUUUUCUUGCACUGGAAUUGCUACUCAAAGUUUGUAGAGAAUCAUCUUAUGGCCAAUCUACUCAAAGUUUGUUAAGAACAAUUUUGUGUAAAUUUUAUUUAAGUGCAAAUGCAGAGAUUUGUAAUUUUACAAAUCCAUUAACAGUAUGAUCACCUUUAAUGCCAAUGAACCGAGUAUUUGAAUUGCUCAUGAAUUUAUUACUCAUCAAUUCCGGCAACCGUGCUAUCCAAUAUCAGUUGAUUACAACACAUUUUGAGUUUACGUAAAUUGAAAGCUGUUAUUAUCAUCAUAUGUGAGACUGUACAGUGUGAUAUUCACGACAUGUGUAUGGUACAAGAUAACAUGCUUUAUUAUAUGUAUACAAGAUAACUGCAGUCUGCUGAUAACAUGUGUAUGGAAAAUAACAUUGUAUAUUUAUAUGUGUCAAUAUAUUUCUGGUAUGUAUGCAUCUAUCUGUUGCUGCGCCAACACAUCUGGCGAUCUCUCUGUGCUUAGACCGUUUGGUCACUUUCCAACCAUAUAUCAGCAGACUGUAGACAUCAAUAUAUAGGCAGCGAUUGAUAUGAUUAUUUGCUUAAUUAUUUAUUGCAGAUGGAAAUAUUACAUUUUGUUGUGUAAAAUCGUAUUAUAGAUAUUUAGUUUUGUGGAUGGAUUAAUGAGACAUUAUUUUUUAUUGUUGUGGAUUAAUCUAAAUUUAUGCCGAUAUUA